UACGUAGGUGGCAAGCGUUGUCCGGAUUUAUUGGGUUUAAAGGGUGCGUAGGCGGUCAAUUAAGUCAGUGGUGAAAUACGGCAGCUCAACUGUCGAGGUGCCAUUGAUACUGGUUGACUUGAGUACUGAUGAGGUAGGCGGAAUGGACGGUGUAGCGGUGAAAUGCUUAGAGAUCGUCCAGAACACCGAUAGCGAAGGCAGCUUACUAAAGAGUAACUGACGCUGAGGCACGAAAGUGUGGGGAUCAAACAGG
rnacentral:rRNA from 1 species